UACGGGGGGAGCAAGCGUUGUUCGGAUUUACUGGGCGUAAAGGGCGCGUAGGCGGCCAGCACAAGUCAGUUGUGAAAUCUCUGAGCUUAACUCGGAAAGGUCAACUGAUACUGUGCGGCUAGAGUGCGGAAGGGGCAACUGGAAUUCUUGGUGUAGCGGUGAAAUGCGUAGAUAUCAAGAGGAACACCUGCGGCGAAGGCGGGUUGCUGGGCCGACACUGACGCUGAGGCGCGAAAGCCAGGGGAGCGAACGGG
rnacentral:rRNA from 1 species